UACGUAGGGUGCAAGCGUUAAUCGGAAUUACUGGGCGUAAAGCGUGCGCAGGCGGUUCGCUAAGACCGAUGUGAAAUCCCCGGGCUUAACCUGGGAACUGCAUUGGUGACUGGCGGGCUAGAGUAUGGCAGAGGGGGGUAGAAUUCCACGUGUAGCAGUGAAAUGCGUAGAGAUGUGGAGGAAUACCGAUGGCGAAGGCAGCCCCCUGGGCCAGCACUGACGCUCAUGCACGAAAGCGUGGGGAGCAAACAGG
rnacentral:rRNA from 1 species